GAUGAACGCUGGCGGCGUGCUUAACACAUGCAAGUCGAACGAAGCACUUUACUUGAUCUUUUCGGAGUGAUUGUUUUGUGACUGAGUGGCGGACGGGUGAGUAACGCGUGGGUAACCUGCCUCACACAGGGGGAUAACAGUUGGAAACGGCUGCUAAUACCGCAUAAGCGCACAGUACCGCAUGGUACGGUGUGAAAAACUCCGGUGGUGUGAGAUGGACCCGCGUCUGAUUAGCGAGUUGGCAGGGCAGCGGCCUACCAAGGCGACGAUCAGUAGCCGACCUGAGAGGGUGACCGGCAACAUUGGGACUGAGACACGGCCCAAACUCCUACGGGAGGCAGCAGUGGGGAAUAUUGCACAAUGGGGGAAACCCUGAUGCAGCGACGCCGCGUGAGCGAAGAAGUAUUUCGGUAUGUAAAGCUCUAUCAGCAGGGAAGAAGAAAUGACGGUACCUGACUAAGAAGCACCGGCUAAAUACGUGCCAGCCGCCGCAGUAA
rnacentral:rRNA from 1 species